GUCCACGCUGUAAACGUUGGACACUAGGUGUGGCGGUCUGAUCAACGACUGCCGUGCCGAAGCUAACGCAUUAAGUGUCCCGCCUGGGGAGUACGGCCGCAAGGCUAAAACUCAAAGGAAUUGACGGGUCCCCGCACAAGCGGCGGAGCAUGCGGCUUAAUUCGAUGCAACCCCGAAGAACCUUACCUGGGUUUGACAUCAUGGGAAAAAGCCGUGGAAACACGGUGUCCGUAAGGGCCCAUGACAGGUGGUGCAUGGCUGUCGU
rnacentral:rRNA from 1 species